CCACUUCAGUUUUAAAAGCAAAAGAAUGCACCGAAUAACCGAUCAGCCCCGCCACGAGCACGGCACGGAUUCACCCGCACCUGGACACAACCGAGAGGACCUCAGCGAGCUA